UAUAAUUGGCAGUGCGACAACCAGAGGUCACUUUCAUCACCAUCCUGGUUUUGGUAGGUUUUGGACAGCUUCUUUACACAUGCUAUUUCAUCGGCAAGGUCUUUGUGACUGGUAUCUUGUGCCGACCUCCUAUCUCAUCCUGUCUCUAGGAAUGCCUUAACCUGGGAAUCCAGCCCAGAAAUCUGAAUACAGACAGGUACACAUGUGAACACAAAGACAGAAGUUGGAGUGAUGAGUCCACAACCCAAGGAUUGCCAGCAAGUCACCAGAGUCCAGGACAGCAUCCUGAGACAGCCCCCUACAUGGUACGAACUCCAUCAACACCUUGAUCUCAGACUUCCAGCCUCCAGAACCAUCCAGCCCUCCGUUAAUGAGGGGCUUCCUGGGGCCACUAGUGCACACUGCAGCUCACAAGUCAACUCCAUCCACACCCCUACAAACAGCUGCCCCUUGGCCACUACUCAGGCAUAAGGACACGCCCAGCAGGGUGUGCCCUCAGGAGGUCAGACCAGGGAAGAAGCCAUGCACAGCCAGGAGCCAGUUCAGAGCCUGUGAUGGUUAAUUGUACGUGGCAACUUGACUGGACGCAGGUGCUUGGAUUAGACUUGAUUUCUGAGUGUGUCUGGGAGGGUGUUUCCAGAGAAGAUUGGCAUUUGAAUCUGUGGAUCGGUAAAGCUGGUGUCUGCCCCAGUUUGAGUGGGCACCAUCUACUCUACCAAGGGCCUGAAGAGAACAAAAGGCAAAGGAAGGAGGAAUUCGCCCUUACUUGCUUGCUGCCUGCUUGCUCGUGCAGAGACAUCUCAUCACAUCUUCUCUGGCCCUCGACUGAGAUUCACACCAUUGGCUUCCCCGGUUCUCAGGCAUUUUGACUUGGACUGAACUACACCAUUGGCUUUCCUGGACUCCAGCUUGCACAUAGCAGAUUGUGGGAUUUCUCAGCCUCUAUAAUUACAGGAGCCAAUUCUUCAAAAUCAAUCUCUCUCUCUCUUGCUCUCUCUCCAGAUCACAGUCUAGAAGUCUGCUCACAUUCUCAAGUUUGGCAUAUCCCUUUGAUCCCUCCAGACUCCUCAUCCCAGGGGACCAUCAUGGCCAGGGGAGGGUCAGAGCAGGGCCCUCUAAACCACAGACCCCAGGGCAGGAGCCCCUCUGGCCUGGAUCUAAGGGUGGUAUUAUUAAUGAUCAUUAAAGAUUUAUCAUAGGCUCUCCAAAUAGGAGUGUAAUAGUCUCAAGACAUGAUGCAGAAGAAGUCUGUAAAAAUGUAAAUUCCUAGGCCCCAACUCAGACCUAUGAAUCAGAUGAUCUGUAUGGAGUUUCUAGGAAUCCACAUUUUUAAACAAUCUUCCUAAAUGACUUGCAUUCAUACUAAAGCUUGAGAAUUGCUAUCAAACAGCUAGCAGUUGAAGUGAAGGGUCCUGCCUUUCCCAUGAAGUCCAUCAACUCUAUGCCCCCAAAAGCUGGGCCCUCGGAUGGGCUGCUCUCCUUUCUAGAGACUUUACCAUCUUUCUUCAGGAAGCUAAGCCCAGACUCUUCAGUACAGUAGUCAGAUAAACACUGAUCACAUCCUACUCUCCAAUUCCAAGAACACCAUUACUUAAUUCCUGGCAAGUUACAACGUAAUUGAGUAGGUUGCAGUUUUCUUUUUUAUAUCAGGCGUAGUUAGCCAGCUUCCUGGAAACACCAUGAGCUUUUAAUGAAAAUUCCAGAAACAUGCAUCAUUUCCUAAUUAAGGCUGGGAAUUUUAAAAAAUUAUUAAACCAUGUGCGUUCUAAUUCCUGUUGCCCUUUUUUCUCACCCACCAUUCAGCAGUCAGCAGACACUUUCUGGGUUAUCAGGGUAGGGCCAUCCAGGCAGAACAAAAGCCAUGGAUCAUGAACUACAGAGGAGAGCUUGGUAAAUGGACAGCAGAAACCAUGGUCUACAGGGGUCUGGCUUUCUCCCACCUAGAUAACUAGGCCCAAUCCUAUUUGGGUUUAGUUUCCGAAAUCAGAUGAAAUUGGGCACAUUCAGGUGGCAUUGGGGAUACGGCUGUCCAUUGUAACUGGCAAGAAUUUUGACAGGAAAAAAAAGAGGAUCCUUUUUUUUUUUUUUCUUUUAAAUUUUAGAGCAUUAACUUUAAACAUCAAGAUCCAAACCCCAAGGAUUCAGGGAACCUCAUACCAUAAACCAUUUGGAGUCAGGGUUCUCCAGAGAAACAGAAUCAGUAGGAGGUACAGUUAGAGAUAGAAAAACAUGGAAUCGACUCCCACAAUUAUGGAGGCUGAGAAGUCCCUCAAUCUGCUGUCUGCAAGCUGGAGACUUAGGAAAGCUGGUGGUACAAUUCAGUCCAAGUCCAAAGGCCCAAGAACUAAGAGCAGGAAAAGAGAGAUGUCCCAGCUCAAAAAGGAGAGAGCAAAUUUGUCUUCCUUCCACCAUUUUGUUCCAUCCUGCUCCAUUCCUCAACAGGUUUGAUGAUGCCCGCCUGCAUGGGUGAGGGAGAUUUUUACCCAAUCUCAAGCUUUUUGUGUAAUCAAAUAUGGGAUACAAAUGAAAAAUACUUAAAGUGCAUCAUCAUUAACUUCCAACUCAGUCUAGUUUGACUUCCCUUUUCUUCUAUCCCGUCGAAUCCUUGAGGGAUCUUCUCUCCUUGUUCAUCUCUGUAUCUCUAAUAAUUAGCACAGUGUGAGGCACGUGGUAAUCCAGUUAUAACGGUGGAUUACUGGUCUCCAACAUAAUUAGACCCAUCCAAAAAAAAAAAAAACCACUUUAUAAACCUACUUUGCAAAGUUCAUAAGCAAUGGAUGUGCUAUAUCUCAAAGGUGCUGGCCAAAAAAAUUAAAAACUUGGUAAUUAUGUGUGUUUUUUUUUUCACCAGGUCUACUUUUCUGUCACAAGAGCCCAUAUUAACAACACACCCAUGUAUGCUUUUCUUUUUAUCCACUUUUCUCCAUGAGUCUGUCACCAUCAACUAUUAAAACUAUAAAGAUUUGAUCCCCUAAAUAAGUGAUCUUCAAACUAAUUUCUCUCAUACUUACUAAAGGAACUUUGAAAAUCUAUGUAUUGCUCUGCACAUUUUCAAGUAGACACCUAAGAUUUUUCAUCAUAAAUUUGAAUAACUUCAAAAUAUGUUCUUUCUAGCAUACUGUAAAUAUUGAUUUUUAAAUAAAAUAUAUCACACUUUGUAUCCAA